AGCCAAUCACAAGCAGCCUCCACAGACGCCAUCACCGCCUGGCUCGGCCUGGCCGCGACGGGCCUCAUGGCUCCGCCUCCGCCGCCUCCCGGGCUCCUCGUCUUCGGAAGAGGAACGUGUCCGGGCGCCGUUGGAAAGCCUUUAAAGGGCUCUCCGUCACUAUGGCAAUCCGGAAGUGUCUCGGGAAGAAGCGGAGAGGGGGGCCCGGGGCUUCCGGGAUGGGUGUCCCCGCACUCUGGUCCCUCACUCGACCCCCCAGUUUGUGGCCGGGAGAGGUGCUCGUCCUGGGUCUGGAAGGAGGUUUCACAGAAAGGAGAAAAAGAGUUGGAGUCUCUGGAUUGAUAUCUUUCUCCUCCCUAGCAAUUAAGGUCUCUGGAGCUGCCUCAGACAGCCAGGCAAGGACAUACGGACAUCUCACCGACCCAGAGUGCAGACGACGGUGUUCCGACCUGGAGCCCUCAGAAAACUAAGCGCAGACGUUCGUGCAGAGACGAGAGAUAAGCACCGGAACAAGCACAUAAAGCCUUUCUCCCUUCACCACAACUUUUCCUCCCGUGUCAGCCACAGAGGGUGGUGCCUGCGGCUCUGCUCUGGGGUGAAUCAGAGUGACACCUUUAGCCACACGGCAACCACUGGGCCGCAGCCGUCCGCCGGGGAGCUGCCGUCUCUUCCGCCACCUCCUGUCAGAGGGGGAAGGAGACGUUCAGCUCAUCCCCCUUGGCACUUCCAAGGCCGGGCGUCGGCGGGCCCGGGGACCCUCGGACCCUCACCUCGAUCGAUCGACCGGAUCGAUGGGAGUUACUGAGCCUCUAAGCGCCUGGGAGAAUGAGAUGCAAAAGUGUUGGUAGACGUGUCUCCCUCCCACGAGGAGCCGACUCCGAGGACCGGUUCUGUCUUGCGCUCUUGGCCCUGAAGGCCUGUGGGUUCAGUCCCAGCCUCGUCCCCUGGGGUGGGAAGGGGGGCGGAAGAGG
rnacentral:lncRNA from 1 species